AGCAGCGGCGAUAGCACGUGGAAUGUACCCGUUCCCUGUGAACCAUCACAGUUAAGCAACAAUGCGCGUGAUUGGUAUCCGGAUGGGUGACCAUCUGGGCAAUCGGGUGUUGGCUUUUC
rfam:Asian citrus Psyllid, Diaphorina citri - Florida Strain, whole genome shotgun sequence.